rnacentral:rRNA from 1 species
UGCAGUCGACGGCAGCGCGGGAGCAAUCCUGGCGGCGAGUGGCGAACGGGUGAGUAAUACAUCGGAACGUGCCCAAUCGUGGGGGAUAACGCAGCGAAAGCUGUGCUAAUACCGCAUACGAUCUACGGAUGAAAGCAGGGGAUCGCAAGACCUUGCGCGAAUGGAGCGGCCGAUGGCAGAUUAGGUAGUUGGUGAGGUAAAGGCUCACCAAGCCUUCGAUCUGUAGCUGGUCUGAGAGGACGACCAGCCACACUGGGACUGAGACACGGCCCAGACUCCUACGGGAGGCAGCAGUGGGGAAUUUUGGACAAUGGGCGAAAGCCUGAUCCAGCCAUGCCGCGUGCAGGAUGAAGGCCUUCGGGUUGUAAACUGCUUUUGUACGGAACGAAACGGCCUUUUCUAAUAAAGAGGGCUAAUGACGGUACCGUAAGAAUAAGCACCGGCUAACUACGUGCCAGCAGCCGCGGUAAUACGUAGGGUGCAAGCGUUAAUCGGAAUUACUGGGCGUAAAGCGUGCGCAGGCGGUUAUGUAAGACAGUUGUGAAAUCCCCGGGCUCAACCUGGGAACUGCAUCUGUGACUGCAUAGCUAGAGUACGGUAGAGGGGGAUGGAAUUCCGCGUGUAGCAGUGAAAUGCGUAGAUAUGCGGAGGAACACCGAUGGCGAAGGCAAUCCCCUGGACCUGUACUGACGCUCAUGCACG